rnacentral:rRNA from 1 species
GAGUUUUGAUUCUGGCUCAGAUUGAACGCUGGCGGCAGGCCUAACACAUGCAAGUCGAGCGGAUGAAGGGAGCUUGCUCCUGGAUUCAGCGGCGGACGGGUGAGUAAUGCCUAGGAAUCUGCCUGGUAGUGGGGGAUAACGUCCGGAAACGGGCGCUAAUACCGCAUACGUCCUGAGGGAGAAAGUGGGGGAUCUUCGGACCUCACGCUAUCAGAUGAGCCUAGGUCGGAUUAGCUAGUUGGUGGGGUAAAGGCCUACCAAGGCGACGAUCCGUAACUGGUCUGAGAGGAUGAUCAGUCACACUGGAACUGAGACACGGUCCAGACUCCUACGGGAGGCAGCAGUGGGGAAUAUUGGACAAUGGGCGAAAGCCUGAUCCAGCCAUGCCGCGUGUGUGAAGAAGGUCUUCGGAUUGUAAAGCACUUUAAGUUGGGAGGAAGGGCAGUAAGUUAAUACCUUGCUGUUUUGACGUUACCAACAGAAUAAGCACCGGCUAACUUCGUGCCAGCAGCCGCGGUAAUACGAAGGGUGCAAGCGUUAAUCGGAAUUACUGGGCGUAAAGCGCGCGUAGGUGGUUCAGCAAGUUGGAUGUGAAAUCCCCGGGCUCAACCUGGGAACUGCAUCCAAAACUACUGAGCUAGAGUACGGUAGAGGGUGGUGGAAUUUCCUGUGUAGCGGUGAAAUGCGUAGAUAUAGGAAGGAACACCAGUGGCGAAGGCGACCACCUGGACUGAUACUGACACUGAGGUGCGAAAGCGUGGGGAGCAAACAGGAUUAGAUACCCUGGUAGUCCACGCCGUAAACGAUGUCGACUAGCCGUUGGGAUCCUUGAGAUCUUAGUGGCGCAGCUAACGCGAUAA